rnacentral:rRNA from 1 species
GACGAACGCUGGCGGCGUGCUUAACACAUGCAAGUCGAACGAAGUGGCGAACGGGUGAGUAACGCGUAAUCAACCUGCCCUUCAGAGGGGGACAACAGUUGGAAACGACUGCUAAUACCGUAUACUGAAGGAGGGGAUUGCGUCUGUUUAGCUAGUUGGAGGGGUAACGGCCCACCAAGGCGAUGAUCAGUAGCCGGUCUGAGGAGGUGAACGGCCACAUGUGGACUUAGACACCGCCCCGACCCCGACGGGAGGCAACAGUGGGGGAUCUUCCGGAAUGGGCGAAAGUCUGACGGAGCAACGCCGCGGGAGGGAUAGCGGCCUUCGGGUUGUAAAGCUCUGUUAAUCAGGACACGGUACCGGAAUAGAAAGCCACGGCUAACUACGUGCCAGCAGCCGCGGUAAUAC